rnacentral:piRNA from 1 species
UGUCUUUGUGUUUGGCAGUGAGCUCA